ensembl:lncRNA
GGCCGCGGUCGCCCCCAGGACGCCCUGAUCCCGCCGGCCGCGAUCCAUCGCGCCGCUCGCCGGUUCGCUGGGGAGCAGGGGACUCAGCGCUGGUUCGCUUGUCCGAGCUGUGAAGCGACGGCCUCCAGUCUGGGUUUUCUGGAGUCCUUCCACCUUGCAGUUUCCAGUUCUCCCCAGGAUUUGGGUCGGACGCAAAGUCCCCUUUGUUCUCAGAGCUCGGUGGGCUCCGGGCCUGAGAUUGCAAGCUCUCGUUCCUCUGGUUCGAGCGCUUCCGCGUGAAGAGGCGGACCAGCAAGGCAGGCGCGGCCCGAGGGACGCUGGUGGGGAACGCCAGGGGCUGGAGCUUAAUGCGCCCCGAGGACACAAGUCGGUGCUUCCAGCCACAGUGACUCAGCGCUGUGCAGGGAAAACAGACGCGGUGCCGGCUGACGUCGUCAUUCAGCAAUUUCUUUGUGCAUCUUGGAGGAAAAAAGAAGUGUAAGGCCCCGUGUCUGUCUUCAAGGAGCUCACUCUCUAAAGGCAGUGGCUGACCCUAAACAUGAUGUAGUCAGUGUCCCAGAGGAAAGCACCGGUGGACCCCAAAAGCCUCUGAGUAUCGAGGAGGACUAUUCUGGUUUCAGCAUCGAAAGUCCUGUAUUUCAAGAAAUUCCUCAGUCCAGGGCAAACUGGAACAGUUGGUCAUCCUGGGAGGAGGGACAGUGACUAAUUUCCUUGGAGGAACGUGAUGAACCCUGGGCAGAGAGCCUAUGCUGAUAGCCAACACCAAUGACAACUGAAAGAUCAGUAUAGGGCGUUGUUCUGUCUCUGAUGCACAGCCAGUAAAACAAAGGACUAUCAGGAACUGGGACCAGAUGUCUGCCCCACCCGGAGACCAGCCCCAUACAUAACUGGCUUGUAGUCUUUGUUCUAUAAGACGGCUCUUUCCGACAGUCAGCCAUCUUCCCUCUUGCUAGCAAGCUGUGAUGAAGAAAUCCAUUUUCUCCUCCCGCCUUGCAUCCUGACUAUGGGCAUGUCUUGAGCUGGGCAGACGGCUCCCUUUGAGGGUAACAAAACUAAGUUGGUUACCACGACAAUUUGGUCAAAAGAAUGAUUUGGUUCAAGAUGAAUAUCCUUUUUAAUAGAUAUACUACUAUGCACUGUUAAACGUUUUCAAAAAAGCACAUAUCUGUUACUUUUAUAAGUUUGCAAAAAGAAGAUACAGAGAAUAUUUUCAGGCACUGGUUUCUUGGAGAGCUGGUGGUGGUGGAAAGGUGGCUGAAGGAGGUAUGAACAACUCCCCACGCUCUACAGAUCAGGACGCUCCCCUGGGAGCGGGACCACCCCAGGGAAAGGCCCGUGGGCUCGGGGCUCAAGGGUGGUGAAGAGGUGAACUAGAGCUGCAGGAAUCUCCACAUUUCCAUAGACCUCCUUCCUGCCCCCUUUUGCCGGUGCCUGGAAGAGCCCUUGCCCUUUGGCCUCUCUGAGAGGCUUCCAGGUUCCUGAGAAGGAACCGCGGGGCUCGAGCGUGAUGGUGAGAGCAGCCAGAGGCCCGGGAAGGCCUUAGCUCCUGUGUAUUUUGUUCAGCAAGUAUUUGUUGACGUUCAUUAUACGUGCACAUUUUACCAGGUUUUCUGGGGAGAUAAGUCUCGGGGGGAGACUCUCAGUUUAUUAAUAAAUAUUUUCAGCCGAAUUUGCAACUUCUUUUCAGGUCGCUUUACUUUUCUUAAGAGAGUCAUAAAACGUAACUGGGGUUACAAAAGCAGGCCCCGCCUCAGG